UACGUAGGGACCAAGCGUUGUUCGGAUUUACUGGGCGUAAAGGGCGCGUAGGCGGCAAUUCAAGUCAGCUGUGAAAUCUCUGGGCUUAACCCAGAACGGCCAGCUGAUACUGCUUUGCUAGAGUGCAGAAGGGGCAAUCGGAAUUCUUGGUGUAGCGGUGAAAUGCGUAGAUAUUGGGAAGAACACCGGUGGCGAAGGCGGCGACCUGGUCCGAUACUGACGCUGAGGCGCGAAAGCGUGGGGAGCAAACAGG
rnacentral:rRNA from 1 species